rnacentral:rRNA from 1 species
AGGGGAGCCCUAGCACAGGUGCUGCAUGGCCGUCGUCAGCUCGUGCCGUGAGGUGUUGGGUUAAGUCCCCGCAACGAGCGCAACCCCGCCGUUAGUUGCCAGCGGUUCGGCCGGGCACUCUAACGGGACUGCCCGCGAAAGCGGGAGGAAGGAGGGGACGACGUCUGGUCAGCAUGGCCCUUACGGCCUGGGCGGCACACGUGCUACAAUGCCCACUACAAAGCGAUGCCACCCGGCAACGGGGAGCUAAUCGCAAAAAGGUGGGCCCAGUUCGGAUUGGGGUCUGCAACCCGACCCCAUGAAGCCGGAAUCGCUAGUAAUCGCGGAUCAGCCAUGCCGCGGUGAAUACGUUCCCGGGCCUU